CGCCAGAAAGCUAACCGGUGGAUAUUCAUCGUUGGAGAUGGGAGAGAAGAAUGGUGAUGGAUAUCUUGCCAUUGAAGAUGUUAUCGGCUGUGAGGCAAAGAACAUAUUGGUGAUAUAUCGAAAGGACUGAAGGCAUAUCGCAAGAUUAUUUUUAAAGAGUAGUCGCAUCUCCAAACAUGUUCUUGACAUGAAGAAGUCAGUAUUUUGGCUUGGUUGUGAAGAAGAACUUACGACAAUGAUGAAAGGAAGCUCCAUGGAAGAAGGAGAAGAGGGCGGCGAUGAUGGAAACUGAUGGAAACUCAGAUAACGCUGUCCAGUCAAAUGCAAUUGAAUAUAAAUCAUAUAAAAAGCUCCCCAUAGUAUUGUACCCAAACAGAGCCAUCGGUGACUGUUGAUGCAGCUGCAAGGAGAAAGAAUAGUGCCACGGUGAGUGGUGUUACGACCGUCACUAAAGAAGGAGCAGUUGGCAACAAGUUGAAACACCGGUCAAAAGAAUGGAGAGUUCUGAGAUCCUGUCAUCCGCAGUAUGGGUAACUUUUCUUUUUUAAAAGUAGAAAUUUAUUUUUAUUUUUCUUUCUUUUAAAAAAACGUUACAGAAAAUACCAUUAGGGUUCGAGAUUCAAGCAGAGAGAAAUCUAUAACUAUAACAAUUUGACAAUUGUAUAGAUUUUGUUUCACUCAUUUUGUAAAACAAAUAAUUUUUUCCCUUUUUUUAACUUCAGAAUGGGAUAUUGAUUAUGUGAUGGUGCUCAAUCAAGUCCUUCAAAAUGAUUUUUGCAGCUUAUGAGUGCUCUUCCAAUACUCUCAUUAUCCUCCAACAUAAGUCUAUUGUAGUUAAAGUUUCACUUUAUCAGUUUGAGACACUAUUUGUUCUGUUUUUUUUCUUUUUCUUUAUCUGACAUUGCAUAUCUGAGUUUGAUGUGAUGAUAUUGGGUUAUUGUCAAGGUAUUUUCUUUACUUUUCAUGUGAGUUGUUCUUCUUUCAGAGACUAAUUUUUUUCUUUUGCAACCAAUAUGCAUAUAUUGACUUUGAUUGCUUCAGUAGUGCAACUAUACUUAACUCUAGGCAUU